rnacentral:misc_RNA from 1 species
GAAAUGCGAUAAGUAAUGUGAAUUGCAGAAUUCAGUGAAUCAUCGAAUCUUUGAACGCACAUUGCGCCCGCCAGUAUUCUGGCGGGCAUGCCUGUUCGAGCGUCAUUUCAACCAUCAAGCCCCCCGGCUUGUGUUGGGGACCUGCGGCUGCCGCAGGCCCUGAAAAGCAGUGGCGGGCUCGCUGUCACACCGAGCGUAGUAGCAUACAUCUCGCUCUGGGCGUGCUGCGGGUUCCGGCCGUUAAACCACCUUCGUAACCCAAGGUUGACCUCGGAUCAGGUAGGAAGAUCCGCUGAACUUAAGC